rnacentral:rRNA from 1 species
AACGAACGCUGGCGGCAUGCCUAACACAUGCAAGUCGAACGAGACCUUCGGGUCUAGUGGCGCACGGGUGCGUAACGCGUGGGAACCUGCCCUUAGGUUCGGAAUAACUCCCCGAAGGGGGUGCUAAUACCGGAUAAUGUCUUCGGACCAAAGAUUUAUCGCCUUUGGAUGGGCCCGCGUUGGAUUAGCUAGUUGGUAGGGUAAAAGCCUACCAAGGCGACGAUCCAUAGCUGGUCUGAGAGGAUGAUCAGCCACACUGGGACUGAGACACGGCCCAGACUCCUACGGGAGGCAGCAGUGGGGAAUAUUGGACAAUGGGCGAAAGCCUGAUCCAGCAAUGCCGCGUGAGUGAUGAAGGCCUUAGGGUUGUAAAGCUCUUUUACCCGGGAUGAUAAUGACAGUACCGGGAGAAGAAGCUCCGGCUAACUCCGUG